CAUAAAAACAACUAAACUAACUACAAUGAUGGAAAUAAGUAACUGAAUCUUUCAAGUUUGCUUUAAAAUCCUGUUCAAAAUUUUGUAUACUCUGUUUCACAAUCAGGAAAAAUAUUACACAUCUUGUAUUACUACCAACGAUAAUUUUAUUUGCAUAAUUGCACGUCAAAUUUUAUUAUCGUUGAAUAUAAUUAUGAGUUAAAAACGUUCACGACUUUUAUUUUAUAAUAGUUUACACCAAGAAAAAAUCUAAUCGUAAUUCUUGAGCGGAUUUUGUUAAACAAGAUCUUAUUUCAAUUACGAGGGUUUCAGUCACCGAUUAAUAACUUUUUUGAAUUUUAUAAAAAGCUUUGUUUUCUUCGGGAAAAAAAACAAAAUAUCAUGUUGAAAAGUUAAAAUUGAUAUUUUGUAAAUUCUCAGGUCACGUGAUCUUGGCCAAUCAUAACACAUUUUAUAUCAUCAUAUUUAACCUAGAGGUCACUGUAUGUCGUGUUCUCUAAUAUUACGUUAUAAUCGAUCGAAAGAGUACGCACGUAUACGUGUUCGGAGUGAUAUUUUAAUCUUAAUAAAUUUCGUAGUUUAACAAUUUAUCUCAUUUAAGUAUAAUCUUAUUUAAGUAUGACUAUCAAGUAAUAUAAAUUAUUCAAGUAUAACUAUCAGACGACGAGAUGGUGUGCAGUUCAUUUAUUUAUUCCUGAGAAAAUAAUGGUAAGUAAUAGGUUAGAUAUUACAUUUUUCGAUAAAGAAUUAAAAACUAUCUAAUUCUAAACGAUAUUGUAUAUUUGGACGUUAACAAUUCUCAACAAAAUGGAUAAGAUUAGUAAAUUUCGAGAUUUUUACAAGUAGAAUAUAUAAAAGUAUUAAUAAACUCCAAUCUGAAUAUAUCAUAACCUCAUAUCGUGGAUUAUAUAUUAUUUUAUAUAUUAUUUAUGGUAAUAUCCAUCGAUGGGCUAAUAAUAAUAAAUUAUCAGCAAAAAAUGAAUGUAGAAAAAUUAAAAUUUUAUUCGCCAUUUAAAAGUUAUUCUUCUUUGAGUCAUACCAGAUUUGUUAGAACGUUUCUCAAUAUCAUUGAUUAACAAAGCUUAAUUAUCAGUUUGUGGUUGUUUUAUUAUUUUAAAUCUGCUAAAGAUUCGAUACUAGGCUUAGUUUAAGAAUAGGUAAAUAAUAAUAGUAAUAACUGCAAUAAUAAAAUAAUAAAAAUAAUAAUUAUAACUAUAACUACGGUAAUAAUAGUAAUAUACGUCUGGAAGAUGAUAGGAAAUAAUGAAAAUAUAAUACAUUAUUGCACUUUUUAUUAAAAAAUAAUAAUUUGAGAACUUCUUUUUUACAAAUUGUUACAUUAUAAAGUUAUUCAUCAAAAACAAUUAUCAAUAACAAUUAAAGAAAGUUAUUUUCGAGAAGUCUAUCAUAAUAUUACACAUAUUAAAAGUAAUGUUUUUUAUGUAACAUCUAAAAUAUAAUCUUUGUGCUAUGUGAUAGUUUGGAAAAAAAAACAGCAAUUUCCAUCAUAUUCUAUUUCUCAUAGAUAUGUUAGAUUCAGAUAUUUGUCUCCUAUAUUUUUUUUUUUUUUUUUUUUGUUAAUAUAAAUAAAUUGGGUUUAUAGAAAUUGGAGGUAUAGAAGAGGAAAGGGGAGCGUAACACGUCUAACUCAAACUUUAUCGACCUAUUUUUCAGGAAAACCAUGAUUAUUAUUAAUCGUCACAAUAGAUCCGGAACAGCAUUUAUGAAAUGGGUUUGAAGAAUAACAUUAUUACAUUUAUUUAGUUAUUUUUGUAUCAUAUCGAUAUAUGAAAUUUAAAUAUUUUAUACGAUUUGUUUAGUUUUUAAUCAUUUAAAAAAUAAUAUUUUGUUUAUCAUUUACAGAAACAAUAUCUUCUAUAAAAUCAUAAAAAUAAAUUUGAUGGAUAAAUGAUACAAUCGGCACGUCACUUGGACAUUUUUUUUUACAUGGGAUAAAAAAUACACUAUUAAAAAACUUUGAUCGAAUUUACGUAUUGAUUUGUUGUAAUUUAAACGAAAGAUAAAAAUAAAAACAGGGAAAGGAGAAGAAGUCAAGGCCAUCAGCUCAACUAGAAGUGCAAGUAUAAUUAAAAAUAAAAAUAAAAAAAACAUUAUGUAUAUAGUAUAGGGAAAUAAAAAGAAAUUUGGACGAAAGCUA